GUUGGCAGGCUCGAGGUCAGGGCAGGUAAAACAGGUUGGCAGGCUCGAGGUCAGGGCAGGUAAAACAGGUUGGCAGGCUCGAGGUCAGGGCAGGUAAAACAGGUUGGCAGGCUCGAGGUCAAGGCAGGUAAAACAGGUUGGCAGGCUCGAGGUCAGGGCAGGUAAAACAGGCUGGCAGGCUCGAGGUCAGGGCAGGUAAAACAGGUUGGCAGGCUCGAGGUCAGCGCAGGUAAAACAGGCUGGCAGGCUCGAGGUCAGGGCAGGCAGAAUGGUCAGGCAGGCUCGAGGUCAGGGCAGGCAGAAUGGUCAGGCUGGCGGGUACAGAGUCCAGAAAACAGGGUCAAGGGUCAAAACCGGGAGGACUAGAAAAAGAGAACAGAAAAGGCAGGAGCACGGGAAAACCGCUAGUGGACUUGGAAACAUACAAG
ensembl:lncRNA